AAGUCGUAACAAGGUUUUCGUAGGUGAACCUGCGGAAGGAUCAUUAAUGAAUUCGGGCGCUCGACUCUGAAAUAUUGAGAUCGGCCCCAUUUCUUAAUCCACUUCACACUUGUGCACAUUUUUCCUACUUUCCUUCGGGAGAGUUUGAAAAGCUCUUGUGAUUUUAAUCAAGUCCAGGAUGUGAAUCCAAUUUGAAUAAGUUGUAAAACAACUACAAACGGUGGAUCUCUUGGCUCUC
rnacentral:misc_RNA from 1 species